CUUUCAACAUGUUUUCUAUAGAAUGAAACGGAGCGUAAAUGCUAAAAAUCUUGGACAAUGUAUACUCCUGUAAACCACAUAUAUACAGGAACCUCGGAAAUUAACUACUAUAACCACAUGUAAGAAGAAUAGUCAGAGACCACAGUUCAAGAUCAUAUUUUGCAAGGUUACAAGCUUUGGGGAAAUUGAGAAAUACCUUUAACUCUCACCUCAAAUCUUAGCCAUACAUGAAGGAGUCCACCGACGCACGACACUCGCUCUGCUUUAUCUGAUCGCUUGAAUUGCAGUUCAGGAAAAGGUUUACCGCCAAUAUGAACAGUGAAAGACAAAGGAGAUCAUGUGAGUUAGCACUUGGCCUUCUUGCCACUGUUGAGUACUCUCUGCAAAUGGAAAGCUUCACCUUGAUCCCCAUUCAAGGACCUUCUCUCCAAACAGCAAACAGUAAGCUGCCUCAGUAACCUCUCAAGAUACGAGCGCAAGCAACCUUGCAAAUCCUUCAGAUUGGGAUUUGUUGACAAGAUCAUAGCAUUUACAGUGUCGGCCACUAUCUCACGCUGUGACUCUUCAAGAAGAUAGCCAACAGAGGAGUCUUGUGGCUGUUCAUAUGCCAGCAAAGCAACACAGUCCUGAACUAGAUCAUCAAACCCAGGCAACUCAAAGAACUUUGCCAAUUCAAUCCUUCCAUAUUUCACAGCCUCCUCCAGAGAUCCAACCCGAACCAAUUCAAUAAAUUUUUGACAGUGAAGCAGAAAGCAAGUGGCCGAUCUUUCAUCCUGAACAAUCUGUGGAUACCAGUCACGAAGUUUACCAAUUGCAGCAUCAAUAUCACCAUUCCUAAUUAACUGUCGAAGAGUUUUUCUCUGGUUUAAUGCAUAUGUGAUGUCCUGCUCGUCAAACCCAUUCUCUUGAGCUAUAUAUAUAGGAGGGACAGUACUUUUACUAGCCAAGUCAAAAGAAUUGAGAGUCUCCUCAUAGCCAUAAUGCAGUAAGUAGGCGCGAACAAGUCCAUAACUGACAUUUGGUGGCAAGGAUAUUUUCUCAAUUGUAAUUUGUUGCUUCAUCCUUUCCUGUGCUUCAUAUUCCUUAAGAUCAAAAGCAAAUUGUUUCUGCCCAAAGUUGACUUCAAUCUCUUCAUUCUGGCUGUGAACAGCAACUGUAGGGAACAAGGGACCUUUCAUUUCAUUGCACACCGCCCCAACUACUGCUCCAUUUUUAGUGAAAAAGAAUUCCUGUGAAGCAUAAUUAAUACCAGCACCAACUGUAUCCUUGGCAGUAAAGGUUGGACCAAAUUGCUCACCCUUUCCUUGUCCACGAUACAGAUAUCCAUCAUCUCCAUGAUAUCCGCAACUGUUUGCUUCCCAACCGGGUUGCCGGCGCAUCUUAAAGGUGUCAUUAGUGAAGCCAAUAGCAAUCUGCCCUUUAGCCCCAGCAUUCUUAACAUAAAUCUCGAAGUAAUAAACAAGCCGCUUAACAGGAGCAGGCUUAUUGGCUUGGACAGCGCCGACGUCAUGGCCGUGAAGAUUAACAUUUGUGUACUUAAU
rnacentral:misc_RNA from 1 species